UACGUAGGUGGCGAGCGUUGUCCGGAUUUACUGGGCGUAAAGAGCGCGCAGGCGGCUGGUCAAGUCCGAUGUGAAAGCUCCCGGCUUAACUGGGAAAUUGCAUCGGAAACUGAUCGGCUGGAAGGUGGGAGAGGGUAGCGGAAUUCCCGGUGUAGUGGUGAAAUGCGUAGAUAUCGGGAGGAACACCAGUGGCGAAAGCGGCUACCUGGCCCAUUCUUGACGCUGAGGCGCGAAAGCUAGGGGAGCAAACAGG
rnacentral:rRNA from 1 species